AACACGUGGGUAAUCUACCUCCGAAUUGGGGAUAACAUUGCGAAAGCGAUGCUAAUACCGAAUAAUAUCUUUUUAGCCCCGGCUUUAAAGAUCAAAGGUGGUCACUACAUGUAAACUACUGUUUGGAGAUGAGCCCGCGUACCAUUAGCUUGUUGGUAGGGUAAUGGCCCACCUAGGCUACGAUGGUUAGCGGGUCUGAGAGGAUGAUCCGCCACACUGGAACUGGAACACGGACCAG
rnacentral:rRNA from 1 species